CCCAGAUGGGAUUAGCUAGUAGGUGGGGUAAUGGCUCACCUAGGCGACGAUCCCUAGCUGGUCUGAGAGGAUGACCAGCCACACUGGAACUGAGACACGGUCCAGACUCCUACGGGAGGCAGCAGUGGGGAAUAUUGCACAAUGGGCGCAAGCCUGAUGCAGCCAUGCCGCGUGUAUGAAGAAGGCCUUCGGGUUGUAAAGUACUUUCAGCGAGGAGGAAGGCAUUAAGGUUAAUAACCUUAGUGAUUGACGUUACUCGCAGAAGAAGCACCGGCUAACUCCGUGCCAGCAGCCGCGGUAAUACGGAGGGUGCAAGCGUUAAUCGGAAUUACUGGGCGUAAAGCGCACGCAGGCGGUCUGUCAAGUCGGAUGUGAAAUCCCCGGGCUCAACCUGGGAACUGCAUUCGAAACUGGCAGGCUAGAGUCUUGUAGAGGGGGGUAGAAUUCCAGGUGUAGCGGUGAAAUGCGUAGAGAUCUGGAGGAAUACCGGUGGCGAAGGCGGCCCCCUGGACAAAGACUGACGCUCAGGUGCGAAAGCGUGGGGAGCCAGAAAACAGGAUUAGAUACCCUGGUAGUCCACGCCGUAAACGAUGUCGACUUGGAGGUUGUGCCCUUGAGGCGUGGCUUCCGGAGCUAACGCGUUAAGUCGACCGCCUGGGGAGUACGGCCGCAAGGUUAAAACUCAAAUGAAUUGACGGGGGCCCGCACAAGCGGUGGAGCAUGUGGUUUAAUUCGAUGCAACGCGAAGAACCUUACCUACUCUUGACAUCCAGAGAACUUAGCAGAGAUGCUUUGGUGCCUUCGGGAA
rnacentral:rRNA from 1 species